CCAAUAAAGAAAAUAAUCCAAACUCAAGAUUCCCAAGAAGCAUUUCUCGCAAAGGGUUACUUCGAGGUGAUAAGAAGAAUGUUAAUAAUUCCAAUUCUACUUCCAUUGCCAGUGAUCAUAGAGAUUCUUUUGUUUCCAGCUCCUCCACUCCUGGAGGGUCACCGGAAAAUCUCACAGCAGUGACCGAGGAGUCCGGCGUUCAUCC